UUGCAGGCAGUCCUCGGGUUAAGACGGUCUCGACCUAAGACGUUUGGACUUUACAACGCCCGUUCCCCCGUCCGCCACUUUGUCCGGCUAACGCUCCCAAAAGAAAAUCCCUCACCAUGGAAACGAAGCUCAAGAUCAUAAAAAGAUUGGAGGAAGGAGAGACGGGAACACCACCAAGGUAUCUCACGGUCGACCGUGGUGACAAUUAUUCAAGACAAAGGUCGUAUUUUAGCGCACGUGAAGGGUUCCGUUCCUGCGUCGGAAACAAUGAUCACAAAGCGGGGUUCUUUGGUACUCGCCGGGAUGGAGAGGAUUGAGGACCAGGUUCCGUCGCAAUAGCUAAGCACAGCCUCCCUCGGCAGUCAUGCUCACUACGUCAUUUUGUGUAUUUCAAUGUAUUUGUUUUUUUAUACUUGAACAGCGGAAGUCGAAAUUCGAGUCAAGCCGCUGCCGUAGGAACGGAUCUCAGUCGUAGACCGAGGACUCCCCCGGACAUUCCGACUCGUGUGAAAUGGAAGUCGUCGCACCCCUGCCCCCAUUCUGAACCCACGCAAAGAUCCACUAUUGCAGGUCCGUCGCCGCGUACGGGGAAGUAGUCCUCCUGGUGCUCGGGGGGGAGGAGGGCGGUCCAGUCCAGGCGAGCCCUCAGCUCCGGCGCGACGUCGGAAGUGUGCCCGUUGGCCAGGAGGUGCGGCUUCAGGGAGGGGCCGCCGCCCAGGUACUGCAGCCAGAACUGGACCAUGAGGGGACGGCUGAGGAUGACCAUGUCCCGGUUCUGACGAAAAUCUACGUGUGACGAUAAGCCCAAUCGCCAAAGCGAACUUCCUCCCGAUCUCGUCCUGAAGACGGAAAUUUCAAAUUUUGGAAAUUUUGAAUCCCGCGGCCUCGGCGGACGUCGUCACUGUCAGUCGGGCGACC